rnacentral:rRNA from 1 species
CCUACGGGUGGCAGCAGUGAGGAAUAUUGGUCAAUGGGCGAGAGUCUGAACCAGCCAAGUCGCGUGAAGGAUGACUGCCCUAUGGGUUGUAAACUUCUUUUAUAAAGGAAUAAAACGAGUCACGUGUGCCUUUUUGCAUGUACUUUAUGAAUAAGGAUCGGCUAACUCCGUGCCAGCAGCCGCGGUAAUACGGAGGAUCCGAGCGUUAUCCGGGGUUAUUGGGUUUAAAGGGAUUGUGGGCGGGCUUUUAAGUCAGCGUUAAAAAUGCGGGGCUCAAACCCGUCCGGCCGUGGAAAAUGGGGGCCUUGAGUGGGCGAGAGGAAGGCGGAAUGCGUGGUGUAGCGGUGAAAUGCAUAGAUAUCACGCAGAACCCCGAUUGCGAAGGCAGCCUUCCGGCGCCUUACUGACGCUGAGGCACGAAAGUGCGGGGAUCGAACAGGAUUAGAUACCCGAGUAGUC